GGGAAACAGCCCAGACCACCAGCGAAGGUCCCAAAAUAUAUGUUAUGUGGAAAAGGAGGUGGCGUUGCCCAGACAACUAGGAUGUUGGCUUAGAAGCAGCCAUCAUUUAAAGAGUGCGUAAUAGCUCACGAGUCGAGUGACACUGCGCCGAAAAUGUACCGGGGCGAAACAUAUUACCGAAGCUGUGGAUUGUCCUUUGGACAAUGGUAGGAGAGCGUUCUAAGGGCG
rnacentral:rRNA from 1 species